UUCAUAAAAUAUUUUAGAAAAGUUUUAUUUCAAAAGAAAAUAUUAAUAUUUAAAAUCAUGACAUUAAACAUGUCUAUAAGAACAACCAACCAACUACUAAUCCACAAAAUUAACAUGGAGACAUCAGUCUACGUGGCAGCCUAGGGUUCAACCUCCAUCUCUCCCCCGAAAAAAAAAAAAGAAAAAGAAAAGAACGAACCAAACCGAACCGAGCGCAUCACGCAAAACUCUUUCUCUCUCCCCCCACCACUGACUCUCACUCCCACACUCACUCAUUCAUUCACUUCCUUUUCCCGGUGAAAAAUCCGCCGCAAUCGGAGGGCAUGGACGCCGGAGUGACGUCGUUCAGGUCAAUACUAGAUAAACCCCUAACUCAGCUAACUGAAGAAGACAUUUCUCAACUCACACGCGAAGAUUGCCGCAAAUACCUCAAAGAAAAAGGAAUGCGAAGACCUUCAUGGAACAAAUCGCAAGCGAUCCAGCAAGUGAUUUCUCUAAAAGCACUUCUUGAAACUAGUGAAGAUUCCGGUGCCGGUGCUCUCCGUAGAAUCUUAGCUUCUAAACCUCCGGUUACUUCAAAUUCUGUUGAUUCAGCUAAGGAACCAAGUGAUAGCAACAAUAAUAACUUACUAGAUGAGACAGCUCCUCAUGAUUCUCCCAAAUCUCCUCCUCCGGCGCCAUCGUUGGAUUGUCCACUGGAAGAGGCAGAUAAUAAAGUCAUUUCUUCAAGAAGUCCUGGUGCAACAGAUGGGUUGGUCGGGCAAAUGACGAUUUUCUAUUGUGGAAAGGUGAAUGUUUAUGAUGGAGUCCCACCCGAUAAGGCCCAGGCGAUCAUGCAUCUUGCAGCGACUCCAAUUCACUCACCUUUAGACGAUCCAAUUCGUAGACCUGUAUUUGCUUUUCCGUAUCAUUUACAGACCCCAAGUGACAAACAUGUCUUUGUUCCUUCUAAUGCUGCAAUUUCUCCAACCACACCAACAGAGAAGGUGACAGAAUAUUCUCAGCAGUGUAGGGAGAAAGGAAAUGUAACUUAUGAUCAUGAUGUAGAGGGUCAAGCAAACCGAAAAAUGUCAUUGCAGAGAUAUCUGGAGAAGAAAAAGGAUAGGGGAAGAUUCAAGGGUAGGAAAAAUUUAGGGCCUAAUUCGUCUAGCUUGGAUGCAUAUUUGAACCAUCAAAUGAGGACACAUAUCUCAAACGAGCAAUCAACCAGGAGCAGUACAAGCUCUCCAACCCAGCCUGGAGUGCCACAUACUUCGAGUAACUCGGCCGAAGAUCAGCUGAAGACUGCCAGUUUUGCUGUUGAUCUUAAUGAAGUAUGAUUUGUUUGUUGGGACUGUGAAGAAUGAUCAGAUAAAUAUAUGUUUCCAUAAACACCAACAGACUUUUCCGACAGUCUCUACCAUGCCGAAAUGAAGAAAGAAGAAAAAAAGUCUUGGUAACAUGACUACUUUGCCACUCAAACUGCCUUAGUUGUACCCAUACAAUGUUGUGGUUGAGUUUCCUGAUAGCAACUAAUCAUGGCAUUGUAAACCAUUUGAAAGUGGGUAAAUCUACUUUCUUUUUGCUGUAAUGAGUAGCUUUAAGAUGUCCAAGAACCUUGACAUGCUAUAGAUGGUUUCAAUUGCUCAGGCCGGGAUCGAGUACCCUCUUUGAAAAUCACCAUCGUCAAAAAAAAAAAAGAAACCCCACCUAACAACCUUGGGCGCCUCUGCCGGUUACAGGAUGUACGCUGCUACUUGAGAGUGAAGGAGGCUUCUUAAAUUCAUUCUUCUUUUCUGGAAACUCCCUAUUCCUAAUAUCACUAUGAGAGAAUUACUUCGUCACCAGGAAAUUCACUCUCAGCUGAUCAAUUUUGUACUAGAAUCAUGAUCCUGAGGAAUUUCUCCUUUCUAAUUGUAAUAUCGCCUGGGUUUAUAUGAGCAGCUAUUACACAGUGUAAAUUUAUAAAUGUAUGCUACUGUUUGAUGUGCU